AGGGAGCGUAGGCGGAUUUUUAAGUCAGUUGUGAAAGUUUGAGGCUCAACCUUAAAAUUGCAGUUGAAACUGGAAGUCUUGAGUGCACGCAGAGGUGCCGGAAUUCAUGGUGUAGCGGUGAAAUGCUUAGAUAUCAUGAAGAACUCCGAUCGCGAAGGCAAGUGCCUGGAGUGCUACUGACGCUGAGGCUCGAAAGUGCGGGUAUCAAACAGGAUUAGAUACCCUGGUAGUCCGCACAGUAAACGAUGGAUACUCGCGGUGCGUGAGCAAUUAUGCGUCGCCAAGCGAAAGCGUUAAGUAUCCCACCUGGGGAGUACGCCGGCAACGGUGAAACUCAAAGGAAUUGACGGGGGCCCGCACAAGCGGAGGAACAUGUGGUUUAAUUCGAUGAUACGCGAGGAACCUUACCCGGGCUUGAACUGCUGGUGAAUGGUGCAGAGACGCAUCAGUCUUCGGACACCAGUAGAGGUGCUGCAUGGUUGUCGUCAGCUCGUGCCGUGAGGUGUCGGCUUAAGUGCCAUAACGAGCGCAACCCUUUUCUGCGUUUGCCAUCGGGUAAUGCCGGGCACUCCGCAGAUACUGCCAUCGUAAGAUGUGAGGAAGGUGGGGAUGACGUCAAAUCAGCACGGCCCUUACGUCCGGGGCUACACACGUGUUACAAUGGCAGGUACAGAAGGUCGCUACCCAGCGAUGGGACGCCAAUCCGUUAAACCUGUCUCAGUUCGGACUGGAGUCUGCAACCCGACUCCACGAAGCUGGAUUCGCUAGUAAUCGCGCA
rnacentral:rRNA from 1 species